rnacentral:rRNA from 1 species
AGAGUACGUGAAACCGUUCAGGGGUAAACCUGAGAAACCCGAAAGGUCGAAAGGGGAGAUUCAGCGUGUCUCGAUUGCGGCGCUGGACGGUCGUGCGACGGAAGACGUACGCGUCAUCCGCACCUUCCGUUCUCCGAACCGUAGUCGAACGCGUGCACUUCUCCCCCUGUAGGACGUCGCGAUCCGUUGGGUGUCGGCCUAAGGCCCGCAGUGGAGCCCGUUCGGACGGUUUACCGUUCCGGACGAACCUGCGGUGUUUCCCGGUCGGCUCGCUCGACGGUAUACAGAUGGCGCGGGGCCGCUACACAGUUAGCGUCCGACCGGCGGCAAGCGCGCUCGUCGCGACGGUGAUCGGACCUGGUGCCGGUCCUGUCCCCGAGUGGCUGUUCGCUGCCGUGUUCUCGGACAGACCUCGUCGAAACGCCGAUCUGCGACGCUAUAGCUUUGGGUACUUUCAGGACCCGUCUUG